AACAAACGCUGGCGGCGUGCCUAAUACAUGCAAGUCGAACGGGGAAAGCUUUCGGGUGAGUACUAGUGGCGCACGGGUGAGUAACGCGUGGAUAAUCUGCCUUAGAGUGGGGGAUAACCAGUCGAAAGAUUGGCUAAUACCGCAUAAGACCACAAGAACUGCGGUUCAAGGGGUCAAAGGUUUUUCGCUCUAAGAUGAGUCCGCGUAAGAUUAGCUAGUUGGUGAGGUAAUGGCUCACCAAGGCGACGAUCUUUAACUGGUCUGAGAGGAUGAUCAGUCACACUAGAACUGAGACACGGUCCAGACUCCUACGGGAGGCAGCAGUAGGGAAUAUUGCACAAUGGAGGAAACUCUGAUGCAGCGACGCCGCGUGAGUGAUGAAGGCCUUCGGGUCGUAAAGCUCUGUCGCAGGGGAAUAACACAAUGAAGGUACCCUGUAAGAAAGGAUCGGCUAACUUCGUGCCAGCCGCCGCGGUAAUAC
rnacentral:rRNA from 1 species